rnacentral:rRNA from 1 species
GAUGAACGCUGGCGGCGUGCCUAAUACAUGCAAGUCGAGCGAACAGAUGAGGAGCUUGCUCCUCUGACGUUAGCGGCGGACGGGUGAGUAACACGUGGAUAACCUACCUAUAAGACUGGGAUAACUUCGGGAAACCGGAGCUAAUACCGGAUAAUAUAUUGAACCGCAUGGUUCAAUAGUGAAAGACGGUUUUGCUGUCACUUAUAGAUGGAUCCGCGCCGCAUUAGCUAGUUGGUAAGGUAACGGCUUACCAAGGCAACGAUGCGUAGCCGACCUGAGAGGGGGAUCGGCCACACUGGAACUGAGACACGGUCCAGACUCCUACGGGAGGCAGCAGUAGGGAAUCUUCCGCAAUGGGCGAAAGCCUUACGGAGCAACGCCGCGUGAGUGAUGAAGGUCUUCGGAUCGUAAAACUCUGUUAUUAGUGAAGAACAAAUGUGUAAGUAACUAUGCACGUCUUGACGGUACCUAAUCAGAAAGCCACGGCUAACUACGUG